AUAGCGUAUAUUAAAGUUGUUGCAGUUAAAAAGCUCGUAGUUGAACUUCAGACCCGGCUGGAUGGUCUGCCUAACGGUAUGUACUGUCCGGCUGGGCCUUACCUCUUGGUGAGCCGGCAUGCCCUUCACUGGGUGUGUCGGGGAACCAGGACUUUUACCUUGAGAAAAUUAGAGUGUUCAAAGCAGGCCUAUGCUCGAAUACAUUAGCAUGGAAUAAUAGAAUAGGACGUGCGGUUCUAUUUUGUUGGUUUCUAGAGUUGCCGUAAUGAUUAAUAGGGAUAGUUGGGGGCAUUAGUAUUCCGUUGCUAGAGGUGAAAUUCUUGGAUUUACGGAAGACUAACUUCUG
rnacentral:rRNA from 1 species